rnacentral:rRNA from 1 species
UACGGAGGGGGCUAGCGUUGUUCGGAAUUACUGGGCGUAAAGCGCACGUAGGCGGCUUUGCAAGUUAGAGGUGAAAGCCCGGGGCUCAACUCCGGAAUUGCCUUUAAAACUGCAUCGCUAGAAUUGUGGAGAGGUAAGUGGAAUUCCGAGUGUAGAGGUGAAAUUCGUAGAUAUUCGGAAGAACACCAGUGGCGAAGGCGACUUACUGGACACAUAUUGACGCUGAGGUGCGAGAGCGUGGGGAGCAAACAGG